UACGUAGGGCGCAAGCGUUAUCCGGAAUUAUUGGGCGUAAAGAGCUCGUAGGCGGUUUGUCGCGUCUGCCGUGAAAGUCCGGGGCUCAACUCCGGAUCUGCGGUGGGUACGGGCAGACUAGAGUGAUGUAGGGGAGACUGGAAUUCCUGGUGUAGCGGUGAAAUGCGCAGAUAUCAGGAGGAACACCGAUGGCGAAGGCAGGUCUCUGGGCAUUAACUGACGCUGAGGAGC
rnacentral:rRNA from 1 species